UUUUGUUUGGAUAAUUUAUUAUAAAUUUUCGUUAAGGGAAAAUCUUCAUGUUCUGUUACAUUCAAGUGCACAUGCCUAGGUCACUACUGUGGGUUCUGUUAUAGAGUAAUUUCAGUAGCUUAAGAGGGCAAAUUAUGGCCUCCCAUGAGAUGUUUUUAAAUUUGGAUCUUUGAUGAUUUACUGAUGUUAGAAUGGUUUGGCAAGGAUUGCUCAAAUCAUAAAUUUGCUGGAGGCGUAUUAUACUCCAGUAUGUGCUCUUUUCUCCUGCAGAUGGAUAGUUUUCGGCAUGACCUGGCUAAACUCACCAUAGGUUUUGAUAGUAUUCCGCUUUACCCCCAAUUUCUUCAUUCAGAGAAGUGGUAAACUGCGUCGAAAAAAUGAUCUCUAUUACAUAAUUUUUAGCAUCUGGAAUGGAUAUUAGGAGAUUUUGGUUUCUUAUUCCCUUUAUCUUUUGGUCUCUGAUUUGCUUUCCUUCCAUAGCUAAUGAUAUUUUCACUGAAAGCUUCAAUUCUUUUUUCCUAUUAAUAGGUAUGAUUUUGGUGGUUAUUGGCCUAGUCUGAUCUGAUUCAUGAAAUCUCUCUUUUCCCUUGGAGAAGGAAGAGCAAAGACAAGGAAAAGUACAAUGGGAAAAUGAAGUUGCUCAAGGAGUAGUUUGAAGACGUUGGAGUAGCUUGAAGACAUGAUCCUUUGCAUUUUUCUUAAAAUUGUAGGGAUAAGGUUUUUCAACAUGUAGGAAUUCGAACACAUUUUGUUUGUUUCUUUCUUUCCAUGUGUAUAUACGAUUACAAUGUAUUAUGGAGCAUUGUAUAUAUACUUUGUUGCAUAGAAUUUUUUGGUAAUAAAAAGUUCCUGUUUGCGUA